rnacentral:rRNA from 1 species
UACGGAGGGUGCAGGCGUUAUCCGGAUUCACUGGGUUUAAAGGGUGCGUAGGCGGGUUUUUAAGUCAGGGGUGAAAUCCUGGAGCUCAACUCCAGAACUGCCUUUGAUACUGAAGAUCUUGAGUCCGGGAGAGGUGAGUGGAACUGCGAGUGUAGAGGUGAAAUUCGUAGAUAUUCGGAAGAACACCAGUGGCGAAGGCGACAUACUGGCUCAUUACUGACGCUGAGGCGCGAAAGCGUGGGGAGCAAACAGG